UGCAAUUAUCUGAAUAAAGGAAUAAUUAUAAUUACAUGUGAUCAUUAGUAUUCGUAAACGUCAGAGUUGUGUUCAACUUCGAUUUACAGGCUAUGCAACGUCAAAGAUGCUGGAGGAGCCAAAAGCCAACAAACCUGCAUUUUCCAACCAACGUUGCAUCCACAUCCAAAUAAAACUGACACGUAGCUUCACUUUUGCUUGGGUCUAUUGUCCAGCCCCAACAAUCGCAAACGUCUGGAGACUGUAGCCUCUGAUCCUUUGAGUGUUCUCCAUUUCGAGACCAAGAAUGCAAUUAUCUGAAUAAAGGAAUAAUUAUAAUUACAUGUGAUCAUUAGUAUUCGUAAACGUCAGAGUUGUGUUCAACUUCGAUUUACAGGCUAUGCAACGUCAAAGAUGCUGGAGGAGCCAAAAGCCAACAAACCUGCAUUUUCCAACCAACGUUGCAUCCACAUCCAAAUAAAACUGACACGUAGCUUCACUUUUGCUUGGGUCUAUUGUCCAGCCCCAACAAUCGCAAACGUCUGGAGACUGUAGCCUCUGAUCCUUUGAGUGUUCUCCAUUUCGAGACCAAGAAUGCAAUUAUCUGAAUAAAGGAAUAAUUAUAAUUACAUGUGAUCAUUAGUAUUCGUAAACGUCAGAGUUGUGUUCAACUUCGAUUUACAGGCUAUGCAACGUCAAAGAUGCUGGAGGAGCCAAAAGCCAACAAACCUGCAUUUUCCAACCAACGUUGCAUCCACAUCCAAAUAAAACUGACACGUAGCUUCACUUUUGCUUGGGUCUAUUGUCCAGCCCCAACAAUCGCAAACGUCUGGAGACUGUA